GGGAAGAUGGGCCUUCUGUCCUGGAAGGGCCAGUCUCCUGGGCAGAGCGCUAUGCAUAAGAAGGAAAGCCGUGUUACUCAAUGGUUCUACUGAACCACUAAGCAACAGGGGCUCUGGGGGCACUGUGGAGAUAGAGAACCCUUAGGAAGGCGAUGCUGGAUCCUAUGGGUCUCAACAGAGGGCCUUACGGGGCCACUGUAACAACCAACCACGAAUGGGAGGCUCAACACAACUGAAACGCACGUCCUCACAGUCCUGGAGGCCCGAACUCCAAAACCAAGGCGCCAGCAGGGCCACGCUUCCUCCACGGAGCCUCGGGGAGCAGACGGUCUUGAGACGAGACUUGCUCCCGCAACCCUUUCCCAGCUGCAGCUGCCUCUCCGCCAUCUCUGCCUCCGUGGCCACGCGGCAUCUUCUCCCUGGCAUGGGCUGAACCACCGCAUCUCGGGCAGGGAAGAAAAAAAUGCUGGCAACUAAACCGUGAGGUCCCUUCAAGAGUAAAAUGGAACCUAAGAGGAAGACGGAACCUAACAGAGAUGUCGGGAGGAGAAGCAGCAUGCAUCUUAGAAUUGAUAAGCACGAUACAUGACGACAGCUACUCAGGAGGCUGAGGCAGGAGAAUCGUUUGAAUCCAGGAGGCGGAGGUUGCAGUGAGCCAAGAUUGUGACAUUGCACUCCAGCCUGGAUGACAAGAGCACAACUCUGCCUCAACAAUAAAAAUAAAGAAAUUAAACAUAA
ensembl:lncRNA novel transcript